rnacentral:rRNA from 1 species
AGUGAACGCUGGCGGUAGGCCUAACACAUGCAAGUCGAACGGCAGCACAGUAAGAGCUUGCUCUUACGGGUGGCGAGUGGCGGACGGGUGAGGAAUACAUCGGAAUCUACUUUUUCGUGGGGGAUAACGUAGGGAAACUUACGCUAAUACCGCAUACGACCUACGGGUGAAAGCAGGGGAUCUUCGGACCUUGCGCGAUUGAAUGAGCCGAUGUCGGAUUAGCUAGUUGGCGGGGUAAAGGCCCACCAAGGCGACGAUCCGUAGCUGGUCUGAGAGGAUGAUCAGCCACACUGGAACUGAGACACGGUCCAGACUCCUACGGGAGGCAGCAGUGGGGAAUAUUGGACAAUGGGCGCAAGCCUGAUCCAGCCAUACCGCGUGGGUGAAGAAGGCCUUCGGGUUGUAGAGCCCUUUUGUUGGGAAAGAAAAGCAGCAGGUUAAUACCCCGCUGUUCUGACGGUACCCAAAGAAAAAGCACCGGCUAACUUCGUG